rnacentral:rRNA from 1 species
CUGAGAGGGUGAACGGACACAUUGGGACUGAGAUACGGCCCAAACUCCUACGGGAGGCAGCAGCUAAGAAUCUUCCGCAAUGGACGAAAGUCUGACGGAGCGACGCCGUGUGAAUGAAGAAGGCCGAAAGGUUGUAAAAUUCUUUUGCAGAUGAAGAAUAAGAAGAAGAGGGAAUGCUUCUUUGAUGACGGUAGUCAUGCGAAUAAGCCCCGGCUAAUUACGUGCCAGCAGCCGCGGUAACACGUAAGGGGCGAGCGUUGUUCGGAAUUAUUGGGCGUAAAGGGUAUGUAGGCGGUUAGGUAAGCCUGGUGUGAAAUCUACGAGCUCAACUCGUAAACUGCAUUGGGUACUGCUUGACUUGAAUCACGGAGGGGAAACCGGAAUUCCAAGUGUAGGGGUGGAAUCUGUAGAUAUUUGGAAGAACACCGGUGGCGAAGGCGGGUUUCUGGCCGAUGAUUGACGCUGAUAUACGAAGGUGCGGGGAGCAAACAGGAUUAGAUACCCUGGUAGUCCGCACAGUAAACGAUGUACACUAGGUGUCGGGGCAAGAGCUUCGGUGCCGACGCAAACGCAUUAAGUGUACCGCCUGGGAAGUAUGCCCGCAAGGGUGAAACUCAAAGGAAUUGACGGGGGCCCACACAAGCGGUGGAGCAUGUGGUUUAAUUCGAUGAUACGCGAGAAACCUUACCUGG